AGUGAACGCUGGCGGCGUGCCUAAUACAUGCAAGUCGAACGAGUGGCGCACGGGUGAGUAAUGCCUGGGAAUCUGCCUGGUAGUGGGGGAUAACGUCCGGAAACGGGCGCUAAUACCGCAUACUAUCAGAUGAGCCUAGGUCGGAUUAGCUAGUUGGUGGGGUAAAGGCCUACCAAGGCGACGAUCCGUAACUGGUAGGAGCGUAUGAUCAGUCACACGGGAACGUAGACACGGUCCAGCCUCCUACGGUAGGCAGCGUGGGGGAAUAUUGGACAAUGGGCAAAAGCCUGCGCCAGCCAUGCCGCGUGUGUGAAGAAGGUCUUCGGAUUGUAAAGCACUUUAAGUUGGGAGGCGUUACCAACAGAAUAAGCACCGGCUAACUUCGUGCCAGCAGCCGCGGUAAUAC
rnacentral:rRNA from 1 species